GAUGAACGCUGGCGGCGUGCCUAAUACAUGCAAGUCGAGCGAACGGACGAGAAGCUUGCUUCUCUGAUGUUAGCGGCGGACGGGUGAGUAACACGUGGAUAACCUACCUAUAAGACUGCGAUAACUUCGGGAAACCGUAGCUAAUACCGGAUAAUAUUUUGAACCGCAUGGUUCAAAAGUGAAAGACGGUCUUGCUGUCACUUAUAGAUGGAUCCGCGCUGCAUUAGCUAGUUGGUAAGGUAACGGCUUACCAAGGCAACGAUGCAUAGCCGACCUGAGAGGGUGAUCGGCCACACUGGAACUGAGACACGGUCCAGACUCCUACGGGAGGCAGCAGUAGGGAAUCUUCCGCAAUGGGCGAAAGCCUGACGGAGCAACGCCGCGUGAGUGAUGAAGGUCUUCGGAUCGUAAAACUCUGUUAUUAGGGAAGAACAUAUGUGUAAGUAACUGUGCACAUCUUGACGGUACCUAAUCAGAAAGCCACGGCUAACUACGUG
rnacentral:rRNA from 1 species